UGACGUCCACCCGGUACCAGAUCAGGAGC
rnacentral:piRNA from 1 species